GAUGAAGAACGUAGCGAAAUGCGAUAAGUAAUGUGAAUUGCAGAAUUCAGUGAAUCAUCGAAUCUUUGAACGCACAUUGCGCCCGCCAGUAUUCUGGCGGGCAGGCCUGUUCGAGCGUCAUUUCAACCAUCAAGCCCCCGGCUUGUGUUGGGGACCUGCGGCUGCCGCAGGCCCUGAAAAGCAGUGGCGGGCUCGCUGUCACACCGAGCGUAGUAGCAUACAUCUCGCUCUGGGCGUGCUGCGGGUUCCGGCCGUUAAACCACCUUCAUAACCCAAGGUUGACCUCGGAUCAGGUAGGAAGACCCGCUGAACUUAAGCAUAUCAAUAAGCGGAGGA
rnacentral:misc_RNA from 1 species